rnacentral:rRNA from 1 species
CGUGCCUAAUACAUGCAAGUCGAACGCAAUUUGUAGGUUGAAAUGAUAUGAAGAACUUGUUCAGAUUUGAUUUUCAACAUUGCAAUGAGUGGCGAACGGGUGAGUAACACGUGGGAAACCUACCUCUUAGCAGGGGAUAACAUUUGGAAACAAAUGCUAAUACCGUAUAAUAAUUAAAAUCGCAUGGUUUAGUUUAAAAGAUGGUCUUGCUAUCACUAAGAGAUGGUCCCGCGGUGUAUUAGUUAGUUGGUGAGGUAAUGGCUCACCAAGACAAUGAUACAUAGCCGAGUUGAGAGACUGACCGGCCACAAUGGGACUGAGACACGGCCCAUACUCCUACGGGAGGCAGCAGUAGGGAAUCUUCCACAAUGGACGAAAGUCUGAUGGAGCAACGCCGCGUGUGUGAUGAAGGGUUUCGGCUCGUAAAACACUGUUGUAAGAGAAGAAUGACAUUGAGAGUAACUGUUCAAUGUGUGACGGUAUCUUACCAGAAAGGAACGGCUAAAUACGUG